rnacentral:lncRNA from 1 species
AAUUGCCCCCAGGGCUCGCGGCGGAGGCGGCGCAAGGAGGGGCGGCGGCCGCGGGGGGCGGAGCCUGAGCCCGAGGAGGCGGAGCUGAGCCGGCGCCUGCAGGCCCUGGCGGCCGCCGAGGAGGAGGAGGAGGAGGAGGAAGCUCCAGCGGCGCGCAGAGGAGCGAGGAGGAGGAAGGGUGGGAACGUUUUCGCUGCGCUGAGCCGGGAGCAGAGCGAGGAUGAGGAGGAGGAGGAGGAGGAAGAGGAGGAAGAAAAACCAACCAAGGGCAAGAGCAGCAAGGUGGGGCAGCGAGGGGAAAUCCCGGAAUUCGGGGAAAUCCCGGAAUUGGGGGGAAAUCCCGGAAUUCGGGGGAAUCCCAGAAUUUGGGGGAAAUCCCGGAACUCGGGGGAAAUCCCAGAAUUGGGGGAAAAUCCCAAAAUUCUGGG